rnacentral:rRNA from 1 species
ACAGAGGUCUCGAGCGUUCAACGGAUUCAUUGGGCUUAAAGCGUACGUAGGCGGAUGUGCAGGCGUCGUGUGAAAGCCCUCGGCUCAACCGAGGAAUUGCAUGGCGAACCGCACGUCUUGAGACAAGUAGGGGCGGUCGGAAAGAUAGGUGGAGUGGUGAAAUGCGUUGAUAUCUAUCGGAACGCCGAUGGUGAAGACAGGCCGCUGGGCUUGUUCUGACGCUGAGGUACGAAAGCGUGGGUAGCGAACGGGA